rnacentral:rRNA from 1 species
ACGAACGCUGGCGGCAUGCCUCACACAUGCCAGUCGAACGAGACCUUCGGGUCUAGUGGCGCACGGGUGCGUCACGCGUGGGAACCUGCCCUUAGGUUCGGAAUAACUCCCCGAAAGGGGUGCUAAUACCGGAUAAUGUCUUCGGACCAAAGAUUUAUCGCCUUUGGAUGGGCCCGCGUUGGAUUAGCUAGUUGGUAGGGUAAAAGCCUACCAAGGCGACGAUCCAUAGCUGGUCUGAGAGGAUGAUCAGCCACACUGGGACUGAGACACGGCCCAGACUCCUACGGGAGGCAGCAGUGGGGAAUAUUGGACAAUGGGCGAAAGCCUGAUCCAGCAAUGCCGCGUGAGUGAUGAAGGCCUUAGGGUUGUAAAGCUCUUUUACCCGGGAUGAUAAUGACAGUACCGGGAGAAUAAGCUCCGGCUAACUCCGUG